rnacentral:lncRNA from 1 species
GAGAGCGCUGAGGCGCCAGGAGAGAGCGCUGAGCGCCAAGCGCUGAGGCGUGGAGACUCGAGGUGGCGGCCGAGAGUAGGAAGCAAAACAACGGGACGGGACUGACUCGGGGCAACAACGACUACCCAUUGUGGGGAAAGUUAAACACAUAUUUUUAGUGAGAGCUUGUGAUCCAGCCACUGCACUGGGCACCGAGGACUCCAAGUGGAAGAUGAUGUCAUCCACAAUGGCAUCUCCAGGGGAAUCGAUUUUGAUGACUCCAAUCAAGGCAGGCGGGUCAAUGGCAGCGACCACUGAAGAUGCUAUGGCUUGAGAGGGAAGGAGAGAGGCAGCCACUGCCUGAGACGGAAUCUCCCUCUGUCGCCCAGCUUGGAGCUCACUGCAACCUCUGCCUCCUGGGUUCAAGCAAUUUUCCUGGCUCAGCCUCCAGAGUAGCUGGGAUUACAGGUGCCUGCCACCAUGCCCAGAAAAUUUUUGUAUUUUUAGUAGAGAUGGGGUUUUGCCAUGGUGAACAGAGUGGCCUCGAACUCCUGACCUCAGGUGAUCAGCCAGUCUUGGUCUCCCAAAGUUCUGGCAUUACAGGCAUGAGCCAUCUCGCCUGGCCUCUUCCUAAUUUUUAAUACUAAAUAUCUCAUGGGGAUUGAGAAUAAAGCAAAUAUUUCCAAAGUGGCAAUGCCCCUGUUGUAGAGCAUAAAGGUCUUGGUGGAAAUUUUGAGUCUCACAGACCUGGGUUUUCAUAGAGUUUUACUCACUUUACACAUUACAGACCCUUUGACAGGGCAUUCUCUCCCUGCCUCUAGUACUGCCUCAUCAUAUUGUUUCUUGGAUGUUUUUAAUAUAACACAGCCAGUAACAGGCGCUCCAUGUAAUGACGCUAUGCAUGUGGUCUGUGAGCCGGGAGGUCAGUGUGUGUCAUCCUUGGGCGCUCCACACCCCUCCCCAAACCCACGUAGAUUCAGUGUGCUCAACCAGAAAGACGUAAUCAGAGAGAAUAGCCUGGCAUUUCUUGGAUUUGGUACCUAUCUUUUCAGUUCAAUAGAAUGGAGUUAAAAUAAAAAAAAAAAAAAAGAAACCUUUCUGAGCUCCUACUAUAUGACUGAAUAUACAGAAAUGAAGAAAUAAAUAGACUCAGUUUUUCAAUAACUUGCAGACUAAAGAGAAAACAGAAGCCCCAGCCACCUGGGGGCGGGGGAGGGGGGGCCUGACGUUAGAAAACACUAGGCCAGGUCUGCACAAUGCAGCAGAAGAGUCCGACCUCAGGGCGGUGCACCUUCUUGACCUGAGAUGAGACUAAGGCUAGAACGUUCAGAGAUGGAACAGCCCGAGCCAAGUGAUCGUGUGAACGGUUCCAUGACCCUGAAGAACGAAGUGGGUGCGGCAGGACAGGAGACUGGUCAGGCAGAGGCCAGGUGAGGAGGAAUCUCGUCUGUUGCCCUGAGACCUGGUGGACAAGGUGGAACCACUGAAAGGCACCUCCCGUCAGGCACACACAUUAAGGACUCGUGACUGAAGGAUGUUGGUUUGCAUAAAGCUAAAAAAGCCCUUAUCACAAAAUGUGUACAUGCAAUGCCUGGUAGGCAUAAUGAAUGUUGUGGAAACUGUUCUCAGUCAAUUUCUCUAAGUCUUAGAGAGAGCAAUGGAUUAUUCCUGUCUGUAUUUUACAUUAUCACAAUUUUUGUAUAGACAAAGCCAGUAUCUUUAGCUUGUCUGUCUCCCUCAUCUGCGCAUACGUACGGAGCAUCGUCACCACCUGUUGGAAUGACCUGAAGUGCAACAAAACUCCAUACAGAAAAACCAGAUCUAUAACAGUGAGGCCAACAAGUUCCAUUCUUAUUGGAGGCAAGCACCCAAUUCAAUUAGCAUCCAAAUGUACAAAAAUGAGUAAUGUCCGUGUCACCCACGUAAUGUGUGUGUUCUGAGGCCACGAUCCCUUUAGUCACAAACAAUGUCAACACAUGCAAAUCUCCGUCUUGUGUUUACAGAUUCACAGUAUGUAAAUUAGAACAAGAAAAUCAUAUCAGAACGUUUUAUGGAUACUGUUCUCAAGUAUUUUAGUGUGACUUGGCAUAAGGGAAUGAGAAGGCGCCACAGAGGGAACUUGAGUUGAUUGCAUCUGGUGAGAUAAACCCCAAGAAAUCCUGGCUUGAAGACAUCAGGCUGAUGUGAGUAGAGAGAAUGUGAGCCUGGGAAUAAAUCAGUGGAGAAUUUAAUGAGGUAAAAUGCUUUGAAGUGGUUUAAAGUAAUUCUUAAAGUGAUUUUUAAAUUGCACAACUAAAACUUGCCGAAAAAUACAGCUGUUUUGUAAUAAGUUGAACUCAGGAACAGCAGUUAUCACUUUUGUUUUUUGUCUAUGCCAUGAAAGCCUGUCUUUGCAGAAUUCCAAGUCCUCGAAUAAAAGAAAAAACCACUGCUACUAUUCAGGCAGAUAAAACUCAAUGAUAAACAUAGCUUGUUUAAGCUAGAAAUCUGGGAAAAAUUAAAAAUGGAAAUGCCACUUGCACCAUCAGGGACAAAUCUACUUGAAAAAUGAAACUCUUCAUGGAAUCCCCACUAGGGCCAUCCAGCCAUUUCCCAGUGAGAGCAUAUUGCAUUCAACACAGGCUGAUGUGCGAAGUAUAAAAGACGUUGCUAUUCCCAUCUUCACUGUAAACGUACAGUCAAAUAUCACAGCCAAUUAAUUAAAUCAAUUAACUAAUUAACUAAACCUGAGCAACUUCCGAUUUGGAUUUUGUCUUUCCAUUCCUCCUACCAUUUCAAGAUCAAAUCUUGCUGAACAAGCUCUAUCUAAGCUGCUUUAGGUGGUUUUUGCUCUUUAUUUUUUUC